ensembl:lncRNA
AGGUUCAAUCCCUGGGUCAGGAAGAUCCCAUGGAGAAGGAAAUGGCAACCCACUCCAGUAUUCUUGCCUGGAAAAUCCCAUGGACAGAGGAGCCUGGUGAGCUACAGUCCAUGGGGUUCCAUAGAGUCAGACACGACUGAGCAACUAACACUUUGGGACAUGAGAAGAUUGUUCUAGUUGGAGGAAAUAAUGUGACGAAACUAGUGUGAGCAAAAAAGAAAGUUGCUUGGCAAGUGUAACCAACCUGAGAUGGAUGAAGUCCAAGCCUCCACGACAGACUGGCUUCUUCACAUGGUGCAGACAUGAUUAUGGGCAGCUGUGAGCUCUUCACCAGCCGGGAAAGCUGGUUCUUCCAGCUUCAGUUUGGAAACUCCUAGGGGAAGGACUCAGCGACUUACACUGGCUCAUUACCCAUUUGUUAGGCCAGUCCCCAUGGUCAAGGAAGCAUGAAGUUCUGUAUUUGGCCCGGCUCUGGUCACAUGCCACCCCUGUGGCCAGAGAGGACAAGGGCUGUCCUCAGAUGGAGAAAAGGGUCAGAGAAGGAUUCUUGACCAGUAUCAAUUCCUUCCUGAACAGCAUUUCCUU